AAAAAAAGAAAAAAGAAAAAAAAUUUUUUGUUUCAUAUUUUUAUCCUCCUAAUGGAAUGAAGGCAUAUAGCCACUUCUUCUAUUUGGAAGUCUACGUCUUGUUUGCAUUGGGUGAUUUGGAUGUGUGUAUUUUAUCCCUCUCUGAAAUGAAAUUGUGUAUUAAUUGGCUUAUGUGCACAAGAUUGAACAUUUAGCCCUUUGUAUAUGAUUCUGUUUACUUAUUACUUAAUGCCUUGACAUUUAGCCCAAUGUUUUUGCUGCUUCUCUGUUUCUAGGACAGUAGUACUACCAAGAUGUUAACAUGAUAAUAUAGGAAUACUUUUUUUUUUAAUGUAUUUAUUAGUUUUUUGUGAGGUUGAAUUAUUAUGGUUUUCGUGCAGUGGUCCAUCCAGG
rnacentral:misc_RNA from 1 species